GGCCUCGUAGCUCAGUUGGCUAGAGCGUUAGCUGUACUAAAGCCUUCCCCUUGCUGGUGUGGGUUCGAAUCCCACCGAGGUCG
rfam:Schistocephalus solidus strain NST_G2 genome assembly, scaffold: SSLN_scaffold0003231